GAUACAUUUCUAAAGGAAAUACGUUGUGUUCGUUCUAUUAUGUUUAUGUUUAGUGUGCUUUAUAUUUUUUCUUCAGGAAGUCAUGACACCACCAUAAGACUCUGGGAUCUGGUUGCUGGCAAAACAAGAGCCACACUGACAAACCACAAGAAGUCUGUCAGAGCAUUGGUGCUCCAUCCCAGACAGUACACCUUUGCCUCUGGUUCUCCAGACAACAUUAAGCAGUGGAAAUGUCCUGAUGGGAACUUCAUCCAAAAUCUUUCAGGACAACAAUGCUGUUAUCAACACACUGGCUGUCAAUUCAGAUGGAGUUCUGGUGUCAGGAGGUGAAAUACUCUCUCUUUUUAUGUUGCAAAGCCAGCUAAAAAUCUGUUUUAUGUAAACAAUGUUGAAUUUUGUCUUCUACAUUUGUUCCCCUUUUUUUCUUGAUACCUUCUCUUACAUACCAUUGUUGCAUCUGUCCUUGGUUAUCCUUUUUUCACACCAGCUGAUAACGGCACUAUUCACAUGUGGGACUGGAGGACUGGCUACAACUUCCAGAGGAUUCAUGCAGCAGUGCAGCCCGGUUCUCUGGACAGCGAAUCUGGGCUCUUUGCGUGUGUGUUCGAUCAGUCUGAGAGUCGGCUCAUAACAGCAGAGGCUGACAAAACCAUGAAGGUCUACAAAGAGGAUGACACAGCUACUGAAGAAUCCCACCCGGUUAAUUGGAAACCUGAGAUUCUGAAGAGAAAAAGAUUUUAAUAUUUGCUGGGUUUUUUUCUGUUUUUGAAAACUUUCAUUUUGUUACAUUUUAGCCAGCUGAUUUCUAACAGUUUCUGCUUAAGACAUAAACGUAAACAGCACAUUCACAAUUUAAGUGAAGUCAGGAGACUUAAGAUCAGAUGAGACAUUUAGCUUUGUUCUACCCAUUUAAAAAAAAAAAAAAAGAACAUUGCUGUUGUAUACAUUUUUUGUAUACACUGUUUCUUCCCUGUCUAGUCUAAACAUCAUAAGCAGGUCUGUGUGACCAGGCCUGCCAAUUAUUCAUUCAAAAAGGCAAGAAAUCCUACAGUCUAAUUACAACGUCAAAUGUUCUUUUUCACAUCUGAUCAUUAUUGCUGCUCUAUCAGAGACAAACAAAACAACUUUGUAAAUAUUUGCAAACGAUGGCUGUGUAUGGUUUGCCAAGUUUAAAUAAACUGAGCAGUUGACAUUCAUAACUUGACAUUUUUUGACAAUUUACAACAGAUCCCUAUGAAUUAAUAAAAAAACUCUCUGUACCAUAGAUUUUGUCUUGA